UGGGGAAUCUUAGACAAUGGGGGAAACCCUGAUCUAGCCAUGCCGCGUGAUCGAUGAAGGCCUUAGGGUUGUAAAGAUCUUUCAGGUGGGAAGAUAAUGACUGUACCACCAGAAGAAGCCCCGGCUAACUCCGUGCCAGCAGCCGCGGUAAUACGGAGGGGGCUAGCGUUAUUCGGAAUUACUGGGCGUAAAGCGCACGUAGGCGGACCAGAAAGUCAGAGGUGAAAGCCCGGGGCUCAACCCCGGAACUGCCUUUGAAACUCCUGGUCUUGAGGUCGAGAGAGGUGAGUGGAAUUCCGAGUGUAGAGGUGAAAUUCGUAGAUAUUCGGAGGAACACCAGUGGCGAAGGCGGCUCACUGGCUCGAUACUGACGCUGAGGUGCGAAAGCGUGGGGAGCAAACAGG
rnacentral:rRNA from 1 species